CCGGAUUGGGCGAUGCAGCCCCGACGAGCAGGCCAUCUAGUCCAACCUCGAGCUCGCCCUCCAGCCCCGCACAAGAGCUCUGUCAUGGGCAAGGGUGAGGCUUGAUGAAGGACCAGGCAGCGGCCAGCCGGCAGAGCAUGAGCCCUUCUUCCCACUCAGGUUGGCUAUAAUGGGAUUGAUGUGGUACACUUGAUCUUCAGCCUACAGUCAUCCCUGACCUACGCUGACACGGAAAUGGGAAGGAGUAGGCGUCGACCUCGCUCUCGCUCAACCGUGCCGCCAUCCGGUUGCAGCAAAGCUCGAGGCCUGCAAGGACUUGCUGCCGACGAUGGUUCACCGACGCGGACCAAGAGUCGUUGUCCAGGCCCUCCACCAGCACGUCGCAGCAACCCCCUCAAUUCUGGUUAUGCUCCACCGAGAGCAAGACCACCACAGUACAAGAAGGAGAACAUUUACUACCAAACAUACUUUUAUGCUAGGCCAAGAGGCGAACCUAAAGAAGAAAAACCGAGGUCUGAAUUCUGCAGAUAUACUGGGAUAAAUCUUUUACAGUGGCAGCGGUGGCCUCUUCUUGGUCUUCAUGUUAUAAGUGAGCUUCUGAUUGUACCCUUCUCUGCUAGUAUUGGGCUUCUGUCUGCAUUUAUCCUCUGUCCAACUAAGAAGAUCAGAUCAAGCGCCAUCAUGGCACUGUCAUUGUGGAGUGCUGAGGACGCAAGCCCUGCCGCGACACCGUACGAGCUGAGCUUCUUCAACCAGUGGUAGUCGCUGGAGCAGUACACAGAGGAGCAUAUUUCCAUGGCGCAUCCAUUAAGGGGAGAAAUAGAUGAGGCCCUGAUGCAGCAGCAAUGGAGUAGUAAAGAUGGAGAUGGCCAGUAGGUAGCCAUGGUUUCGACUACUUCCUCCGCCCUCGCUGCCAUGCGAUGGAGGCGAGUUCACCAUGGCGCAGCUAUGGCAGCAGCGGCCUUCUUCUAGGUCUCCAUGCUCUAGCUUAUUGUGUUCUAUGGCCUCCUCACUGGCAGACUUGUAUGCGAGAAGAUCAAUCCGGGCAGUGCCAGCAGGCGUUCCGAAGCGAGAUGAUGGUGACGAGGCUGCUCAAACGCAUGGACACGAGCUGGAUGAGAAGUUUCCAGUGAUCAAGUCCUCUCCCGCGGCGGUGUUGUCCAGGAGCGCAAUCACUAAAGAAGGAGCAAUCAAGUCGCUCAACUAGAGGUGCAUCUUCCAGGGGAUUCCCUCGAGGAAUGGGGGCCAGUAUAGAUGACAUCCACAAUGACCCUUACCGGAUGGUGGCAUUCAGCGACCU